UACGGAGGGGACUAGCGUUGUUCGGAAUUACUGGGCGUAAAGCGCGCGUAGGUGGAUUUGCAAGUCGGGGGUGAAAGCCCGAGGCUCAACCUCGGAACUGCCCUCGAUACUGCAAAUCUCGAGUCCGAGAGAGGUGAGUGGAAUUCCUAGUGUAGAGGUGAAAUUCGUAGAUAUUAAGAAGAACACCAGUGGCGAAGGCGGCUCACUGGCUCGGUACUGACGCUGAGGCGCGAAAGCGUGGGGAGCAAACAGG
rnacentral:rRNA from 1 species